rnacentral:rRNA from 1 species
UAACACAUGCAAGUCGAGCGGAUGAGAGGAGCUUGCUCCUUGAUUUAGCGGCGGACGGGUGAGUAAUGCCUAGGAAUCUGCCUGGUAGUGGGGGAUAACGUCCGGAAACGGGCGCUAAUACCGCAUACGUCCUACGGGAGAAAGCAGGGGACCUUCGGGCCUUGCGCUAUCAGAUGAGCCUAGGUCGGAUUAGCUAGUUGGUGAGGUAAUGGCUCACCAAGGCGACGAUCCGUAACUGGUCUGAGAGGAUGAUCAGUCACACUGGAACUGAGACACGGUCCAGACUCCUACGGGAGGCAGCAGUGGGGAAUAUUGGACAAUGGGCGAAAGCCUGAUCCAGCCAUGCCGCGUGUGUGAAGAAGGUCUUCGGAUUGUAAAGCACUUUAAGUUGGGAGGAAGGGCAUUAACCUAAUACGUUAGUG